rnacentral:lncRNA from 1 species
CAAGAGGGCGCUAAUUUAUUAUCAACGUAGAAAAAUGUGGCGAGAGUAUAAAGGAUGACCCAUUUCAGCAUUGGAUAUUUAGAACCUCCAAAUCUCCUGUAUAGAAUGAAAUGGAUUCUGAUUCUCUUUCUUCUGGCUGUCGCUGUGAAGGCGGCCUUGAAACUCCGACUAGACGAUGACGACCAACAAGAAACCAACGUCGACCAGUACCCACUGCUGUAUAGGUUACUGAUGGUGUCCAGUCUCACCACUUUAUUAGUGACUACGGGAAUCAUGACAGGAGAUGCUUCUAAGUCACCAGCAUAGUCGUGCCAGUAAGAAAGAGAAAUCCGGUUGGCAUUCACCACCUUCACUUUAGAGACUGGUUACGCUUCUAUAUUGAUAAAGACGCAUUGAUUGCCCUGGGAAACAACCAACUUGAUGGCUACGUGAUGUGUUGUCAAUUCAAGUAAUUAAUCGAACGCCACAACAUAUAAUUGGCUGGCUAAUUGCACUGAUGGGAUGGACUGACGGUGAAUGCUGACCGUCCAACGCUGCUGGGCGUGCUGCUAGACAAGAUGCUGGACGAGAUCCUGGACGAGCUGCUGGGCGAGAUACUGGACGAGCUGCUGGGCGAGAUCCUGGACGAGAUUCUGGAGGAAUUUCAACUUGAAUUUACAGCAGGUGUUGCCAAUCUACCAGGGAUGGACCGAAAAAUGAAAAAGGCGCCUUUCAAAGGAUCAGAAAUGUCUUCACUUUGCUCCCGGAUAUCUUGCUUUACGCCGUGUAGCACAUUCUGCCCGCUGU